UCUCCUUCUCAGAUUCAAUCUAUCGAAAGUUUUAACUUACUUGAACUUGAGUUAUGUCUGGUUUUGUACUUUUGUCUAGCAUCAGUAUGCAUUACAUCUCCACUACUAUAAAGCCAGGCGUCGUCUUUGGUGUCAAAGGCUUCACCAAUUUUUUGAAGUCCCCAAAUUGUCCACCACAAAUAGAAAGUUCAGUAAAACAAAAGAUAUCAAAGAGGGUUAUUAUUGUAAAAUACCACGAAAAUGUAGGAAAAUAUAAAUACGGAAAGCACAAGUCUCUUGCGGCAGAGAGAAGAAAUGAAAAAAAAGAAAAAAAACAAACUGCACACACAACCUCAAAGAACUGCUGUACGCACGAUCUUGGAAUGAACGAAGCAUUUGGAGAUCGUGGGGCGUGAUCGGAGCAGAGAUGGCUUCAACUGCCUGAUACAGUUUAUACAAAAGGGAAACGCAGCCCGAAUAGAAGAAAAGAGGAAAAUAAAAAAUCAAAAUCCUUAUUCGAAAAUUCGGGUAUAAGAUUUUUGAAAAGAUGAUUAUGUAUUGGUCUUUUCAUUUCCAGUUUGGUUUUCUCUGAAUUUUGCAGGUAUCUUGAAGAGAGAUUAAUUCUUUUGUUCCAGGUAACUUUUGCUCUUCAUUUUCUUCUCCUUUUCCAUCGAAUUGUGUUUACCAAUUGCACAAUUAAAUUUUCCUCUUCGUGUCAUCACCAUUAUGAUUCUGAUCAUGAUUGAACAAAGCAGACUCAUGCCCUUAGGAAACAUACAAAGUCCUUUCUCUCCUUCAAGAUUGAUAUAACUUUUAUUUAUCUUUUGAACUUAAUGGUUUGUUUCAUCAAAAUCGGUUGGGUUUGUUUGGUCUUAUGUUCUGGGCUUCUGGCUAUGGAAUACUCAUAUCAAAAUUAGUUGGUCUGUGUUGCAGAUUGUGUCUUGCAACUUGCAAGGUAUGCUAAUGAAUUUUCAGGUAACGCAAUAGUUGCUAGGGGGAGAGGGAGGGGAGAGAUUGGCUGGCUAUAUGCUAAUUGCAACAAUUUUUAGAAUAUUUAGUUUUGAUGUGAAUGUAAAGUGAUAGGGGCUUAUUUAAGAUUCAAAUUCUGGAAGCUAUACCCUGUAGAAAUUUUUGUUUUUGUAUUUCCACCUUUUGAUUGUUAAUUAUGUUACCACAACUGAUAAUUCAUGCUGGGAUGAGUUUAACCAAACCAUGAGUGGUAUCCAAAUUCAUUUUAGUUACAAUGAGUCAUGCUUAUACUCUAAAUAUCUUUUCAGAGAUUUUGGAUAGUGAGAUUGCAAGGAUACUUAGUAAGCUUUUUUCUUUUUUCUUUUUACUUAUAUGCUUGCUCAUGUUGUUUCUUUUUUUUUGAUGAAAUUAAGUCAACCAUAAUGAGUAAUAGUUAUCUUUGUAAAUAGUAAAUUAAAGGCCUAUCAGAUUGUUUUUUUUUUUCUUAUUCAGCAUUACGUAUGUUAUGCUUUCUGACCGGUUUACUUGCUUUGGGUUUUUGGUUUGUUCUAAUUCUGUUUGAUCCCUAAUCAAGUAAUCAUGUCUUGCUUCUAUUUUCAACGAAAGUUGUGUAUUGAUGGCCUCUGUAAGACCACAAAGCUUCAAUGUUAGCCCAUAGUAAACAAUAGGCUGUUUGAUACAUCUUUGGUCCUGCAUAAUCAUUUGGCUUUCAAAGUCCACGAGCUCUAUGGAGUAUUGAAAGCUAUAACUUGGUUUAAUUACAAAGGCUGUAUAAUAUAUUGGAGAUUUUGUAAUGCAUACUGCAACUUUGAUGUUUUAAUUUGUUCUCUUUGAUGUAGUUGACAAUGGAUGAUGAUUACUUUUCCUAAGUUUAUGGGAAAAAAUUUUUCAUGUGCCCAUGUGAAUUUCGGUACCUAUAAUAAUGCCUUUUCGACUUUGGAAUUUUGGUUCGGUGUUGAAUGUUUCAUUUGGUUUUGGGUUUAGCUUUCAUAGUUUUUUGUUCAUCAUAUAAGGACCUCAUAUAUAUAAUUAAUAUUUUGUAAUACAUAAAAGAGGAAGGCUGGCCGAUAAAUUUGGUUCCAGGCAUGUUGAUUCAGUUGUGUUUUGUGAAAGCAUAAUAAUAAGCAAAGAUGACACUAACCGCACGUGCGAGCGCGGCCCUUUCGCAUGCGCAUGGCGAUUAUUUGGUCAAAUUUUUGAACUUCCAAUAUUGCCCUUGAUAUUUCCCAUGAUUUACAGAGUCACAGAAAGGGGACUGAUGGUUCUGGCUUUUGCCGCACAGAGAAAACUACUUCUGUCUUUUAAUCGAGGCAGAGGAAAGCGUUUAGAGCGGUAGGGUUGAAUAAUUAUGGGUCUUGGGUAUUGGAGAUUGAUGAUUAGGUGAAAGAGUGAUUGAGGAGCAAAAAAAAUGCGAAACCCUUUCAAGGAUUCGCUUAAGGCGCUUUAAGCUGAUAUUCAGUUUGCCAAUACUUCGAAAGACUCUUUUUAUUCUUUUCUUUUGCUCAAUCUUCAUCCAUAGUUCAUUUCUGUCUGUUGAUUACAUGGAUUGAUUCUGGGUCAUACCAAAGUUUGUUUAUUUGUCAUGAAUUUGAUGGAAAUUGAUAAUCUUGGGAAUUUGAUCUGUCUAGUUUUGCUUUCGUAAUUUUAGUUUGCUGUAUCUUUCAUGCAAGAUUAGCUUUAUAGUUUGUACAGGUUGAACAUCUAGGUAAUUGUGUAGAUGAUUCUGCUCUAAACCCACAUUUCACAAUUGCUUAUGAUUGUAUGCUGAAUUCUAUAUAGGAGUGAAAAGUUGAUUUGUGCUGAUAGAAGAGAGUAUUAGAAGGGUUUUGAGGAAUUGAGCUUACUUCAGCCACAGACAAACAUGCUAUGAUUUUGUAUUAGAAUUCAUAUCAUAUUACAAUCUCAUUAAAAGUAUCCUAUUUCAAUUACAAUAUGAAACAGAAAUCCAUUCAGAAGCCAAAAUCAGAACAGUCAUCUAGAGUCCGAUGUGUGGUAAUUUUCUUUUCGUUCUUUCUAAUAGUUUUUUCCAAGUGCUGUGGAAGUUAACUACGACUAAAGUGAUCCAUGGAAUUUGAACCGUUAAUCACUUAUUGUUUGUUGGGGUUGUAGGCUGUCCAUUUGUUGUAUAUAUGUUGAUUCAUGACUUGUUAAUUACUCAAGAAGUGUGAUAACUGGGAUUUGAAAGGUUUAGACUUCAACCAUGCUCCAUUUUUACCAGGUACCAGCUCUGGAGCACAAUGUAAAGAGACAAAAAUGUACUAGCAGUGGCUCUUUAUGUGCGAAACUGGAAUGUGCUAACAGCAGCCAUUCAAUUGCUGAUGAAGGCUGAUUCAUGCUGGCAAGCUGCUUGGAGAUGACAAAACUGCUAGACUACAACAUUGAGGGUGGCUCUGUCCUUCAUUUAGUGCUUGCACUACGUGGUGGUAGCCUAUAGAUUGUAUCAUAGUAUUGUAUCUAUUAAUGUUCAGGCAAACUCUUUUGUGAAGGCUUUAUCGAGUCUUGAUACUCCAAAACAUCUGAGUUGCAUGACAAGUGGGUUACUUUGGACAUAAGUAUCAGCGUUACAUAUUGCACUCUACCUUUCUGCUCUGUUAUGUUCACUGUAAUGCUCUGGUGCUUUUACUUUAUACAAGCUUAGCUUCACUUGGGCAACAAAUUUUAUCAAUCUUGAUUACAAUUGUUUUCUGCUUGUGGAUAUUCUAUAAAACUGGGUGACA